CCAAAGUAUGCACUUAACUGUUUGUGAGCCCACCCAAAGAGAGAGUUCCUGUCUUCAACAGUGCCCAAUCUCAAGAUAGACCUUAAUUGACCAGGUUGGUGUUAGAUGCCUGUCCCUGAAAACAUUAGUUAAGAAAAUAAUACGCUCUCAUUGGUGAACCUGGAAUAAUCCUUCAUCCCUUUGGCAGGUGAGGCCAGACAUCAAGACUGGCUGGGAAUUUUAAGAGGGGUGGUUCUACAGGAAGAAGGGCACUCCUACCAGAAGAGGAGGAAGAGAUUCUGAGCAAACCCAGGAAGCAAUUGAAAGAUUCUUCAGCAUCAGGGAUCUUGGAAGAAGAGACAAGGAAAACCAUCUCUUAAAAAUUCCUCUCUAAAGCGGCAUACAGAGGGAAUCCAUUUUGACAGGUGAGUGGUCACAGUCAAAGUCUUUAAUAAGUAGUCAUGUAAAUUAUCUUGUGAGAUA
rnacentral:lncRNA from 1 species